rnacentral:rRNA from 1 species
AUGAAAAGAGUGGGAACCAACACCGCUGCCGUGAAGGCGACCGCCGGCGCCGGUGACCGAGGAGAGCAGCACAAGGCGACGUCCAAGACACAGGCGCAGAAGGUGGCCCGGCAGCAGGCUCUGCUUGCGUUCCUCAAGGCGGGGUUCGAGGAUUACAAGCUGUACAGGGACAGGGAGGACGAGGAGGAGGUGGAGGAGUACCGUCGCGCGGGUAAGCUCCACACGUACGACCCGGACAAGGAGCCCAAGAAGCGCUUGGCCAGGGUCGCCAAACUCCACCCGCCGCUCGAGCACAUGGCCGAGAAGAUCAAAUUGUACACAUAUUACCUCGAGGAAGACGAGGAUGACUUCAGGAUAGGACUUUAUUCAUUAAUCGGGGAUGAAGUCAGAGGUUGA